UACGGGGGGAGCAAGCGUUGUUCGGAUUUACUGGGCGUAAAGGGCGCGUAGGCGGCCACCGCAAGUCGACUGUGAAAUCUCCGGGCUUAACUCGGAAAGGUCAGCCGAUACUGCGGGGCUAGAGUACAGAAAGGGCAAUCGGAAUUCUUGGUGUAGCGGUGAAAUGCGUAGAUAUCAAGAGGAACACCUGAGGCGAAGGCGGGUUGCUAGGCUGAUACUGACGCUGAGUGCGCGAAAGCUAGGGGAGCGAACGGG
rnacentral:rRNA from 1 species